rnacentral:rRNA from 1 species
CAGCAGCCGCGGUAACACGAGGGGAGCUAGCGUUGUUCGGAAUUACUGGGCGUAAAGCGCGCGUAGGCGGCUUUUUAAGUCAGAGGUGAAAGCCCGGGGCUCAACCCCGGAAUUGCCUUUGAAACUGGAAAGCUAGAAUCUUGGAGAGGUCAGUGGAAUUCCGAGUGUAGAGGCGAAAUUCGUAGAUAUUCGGAAGAACACCAGUGGCGAAGGCGACUGACUGGACAAGUAUUGACGCUGAGGUGCGAAAGCGUGGGGAGCAAACAGGAUUAGAUACCCGAGUAGUCCCUGUCUCUUAUAC